rnacentral:rRNA from 1 species
AGAAAGCAGGGGAUCGCAAGACCUUGCGCUCUUGGAGCGGCCGAUGUCUGAUUAGCUAGUUGGUGAGGUAAAGGCUUACCAAGGCGACGAUCAGUAGCUGGUCUGAGAGGACGACCAGCCACACUGGGACUGAGACACGGCCCAGACUCCUACGGGAGGCAGCAGUGGGGAAUUUUGGACAAUGGGGGAAACCCUGAUCCAGCCAUGCCGCGUGAGUGAAGAAGGCCUUCGGGUUGUAAAGCUCUUUCAGCCGGAACGAAACGGUCACGGCUAAUACCUGUGAUCACUGACGGUACCGGAAGAAGAAGCACCGGCUAACUACGUGCCAGCAGCCGCGGUAAUACGUAGGGUGCAAGCGUUAAUCGGAAUUACUGGGCGUAAAGCGUGCGCAGGCGGUUUUGUAAGUCAGAUGUGAAAUNCCCCGGGCUUAACCUGGGAACUGCGUUUGAAACUACAAAGCU